GGGAGUUUGACAGGUGAAGAGACCUCUUCCAGGCAGAGGGAACAAAAUAAGCCACAGUCCUCAUCCUUGAACCAGGUGAGAACUUCUAGCUUACCGGGUAAAGUCCAAUUAACAUGGUGCAGAAUUCCAUCCAUGGCAGGGCUCCUGCUGUCUCCAGCCUCAUCUCCAGGCACCCCCUGCACCCUUGAAAAGACAAUGCUUCCGUGUCCACCAAUUCAUUCCUUCCACUCAUAUUUGUUAUGCACCUGACGGUGUCUAGCUCAGGUCUCAGAUCCUGGAAAAGGACAAGGAAGCCCCAGAGUCUGCUUUUUUGACACUUACCUUCUAGUCCCCCUGAAAAAUCAUGCAGCAUCACGCCUGCACAUUGUUCUUUCUGCAGAAAUGUCCUGUCUCCCCAUCUCUAUCUGCCAAAGACCCAGCGUAAUGCAAACAAUUCAGGUUUCACCCUUUGCAGUGAACUUUGUACAGCUCUCCUAGAGCCGUGGAGUCUAGGUCUAUGCCCAAGAGAGAUGCAUGAAAUGUUUUACUGGUUUCUGCAAAUAAGCCAGACCAAGGGAGAAACAGACCUUCAGCAAGUAGUAAUCAAAUGCAAGUUUUGAGAAUGUGGAGGAAGAGGAGCUUCUGCCCCUGCAAACUGGGCAGUGCAUCCAAGGUCUCCUGCUAACAUCUGUCACUCAUCGGAGCCACCUGAUCUGAAGCGUUGUCAGGGUCAGUAUUUUUGUUCUGCCUGCUCUGUUUUGCUAAUGGAUCAAUGGCAGUCAGUAAAGAACAAACCGUGCCAGGAAAGAAUGUCCUCUUCUUCUCAGCUGACUCAGCUCGGGACAGGAAGACAGGGGGCAUCUGGCAUUUGGGGAAGCCCUUGAUUGUCCCUUAGGAAAUAACUGAAAAUGGAUUUGUGCUGGCCUGGUUCUAAGAAGGUCACCCAGGAUGAAUUUGAAAAGCAGAGGCACUGUGUCCACAAAAGAAAGUGAUAAGCAACAAGCCAUUUCUCAGAGCUAAUGUGCCCGAGUGUGUACCACCGGGAUCCGUUUUAUAUCUACAGAUUGGUGUGUUUUUCAUGACAACCAUCCCCAUAGCAACCAGGUGUCCAGGCACUAAAUGGAUCUCAAGGAUAUGAAAUCUCAGCCUGGUGAGGGAAGCCCACUCUGACUGCAGUUUCCUUGGAGUCGUUUCAUACUGAGGGCUGGUGUGCAGGUCAGGGGGAAUGGGGCUUCUUCCUGAGCGCCCAGCUGGACACAAGGGACAGCCCUGGUGCGAUGGGAGCCU
rnacentral:lncRNA from 1 species